rnacentral:rRNA from 1 species
AUGGAAAAGGACCCGUGUCAUGAUGAACUGACUCUGCAAACGGCUGGUGUUUUCCCUUCUGAAAGCUGUGACGGGGAUAUUCUAGAAGAUAAAUCUGAAACCGACAACCUGACAAAGAAUACUAGAGAAGAUACUGAAAUGUUGGAGCAACAGAAUAGUGAUAAGGCUAACAUACAAGUCAGUUGCGCCAACAAAAUGAGUGAAGUGCUCUAUGAUGAUAAUAACACCUUGGAGAAGAAUACAAUCUGUGGUGGGAAGGUUACUGUAGAGUGCCACUUGGCCUUGUUACACAAUAAAAGUUCAGAAGCUAGGAGUAACGCCAUUUCAUCUCCAAUGCAGAAGAGGCCCUUUGCGUGCCAGAGCCAUGUAAAUGGUUGCACCAUGAGCUAUGACAGUAAGAACAAUUUAGCCAAGCCUUUUAGGGAAGUCCAUGAGCCGAAGAAACGUUUCACACGGAGAUUCGCUGGGUGUCGCGAGGAGUUUUCUUCAAAGAAUGAAAGGAAGAUUCAUGAGGGAUCUAGUGCUCACGUCGAGCUUUCCACCAAUAGGAUUAAUUGUGUCAGCACCUCUCCUGCCGGUGGACCAGAAGCCCAUGAAGAGCCCAGGCCCACACAAGUGGUGGGCCUUCGCACAAGCAACUGA